UUUUUUUUUUUUUUUGCUUGAGCAAGAUUAGCCCUGAACUAACAUCUGUACCAAUCUUCCUCUUUUUUUUGCUUGAGCAAGAUUAGCCCUGAACUAACAUCUGUGCCAAUCUUCCUCUGUUUUGCAUGUCGGUCACCACUACAGCAUGACUGACAAGUGGUGUAGGUCCACACUCAGCAUCUGAACCCGUGAACCCAGGCUGCCAGAGCAGAGUGAGUGAACUUCACCACUACACCACAAAGCCAGCCCCAGAGGAUGUUCCUAAUUCAAGAACUAUGGGCUUGUUUCACUCCACAUGCUAAGCUACUGAUAGAUUAACAAUGGUGUGGUUAAAUCUCUUGUUUGUUCUGAAACAUGGGCAGAUUCCUGCAGACAUGUGUGUAACAGAAGCUACCCAGAGCUUCACAGGGAAAGCGCUCUCUGCUCUAUGAAGUCAGCCAUGCUAAUUGGUCCCUUUCCAUAGCAUGGACCCCAGAAACAGAAAACCACAAACAUUGCAGCAAUUUAUAGAUGACUGUCAUUGAGGCAUAACAUUCACGUCCUCUUCUUUGACAACGCAGUCAGAAGUGACCUUUCCACAACUGGACACUGCCAGAGCACAUUCUCCACCCUCCCUCUCACAGAACAGAGCACUUGAGCAUAUUGACUGACGUGUCUCCCUCACUAAACAGUAAGUCCCUUAAGAGCUGAGACUGUGUCUCAUUCAUUUCCCCAUAGUGCUCAGCAAAAGGCCUGGCACCAAGCAGAUUUUCUAUUGUAUUUGUUGAAUGAAAUUAAUUAGAAACAUAGUGUGCUAGAUAUGAGGUGACUUACAAUAAAUGGACAAUCAAGAGGUCAGCAAAAGGUCAUUAUCUAACACCAGUAGGUAAUAAAAUUGCUCUUUUUUUAGACUCAUUCUCCUCUAAUCCUAACAUCCCUCCUAUUCCUUAAAUAUUUGUAGACAUAGGAACCAGAAAUGAGAAUUGGGGAAAAAAGUACUGGUUAUUAUAAAAGAAUGACAGAUUCUGGUUUGAUACAAUUUUCUAACAUUUGUUUGGGGACAGACUUAUUUUGGCCCUCAAAAGAGGAUGAAAUCUGACAGGCCCAAGAUAGAAGAAAGGAUGGGUGGAAUGGGUCACACCAAUAGGUAGUGAGUUUCCUGUCACUAGAGGUAUUCCAGUAUUCCAUUAAAGGUAGAGGCAUGCAAGAUCUGGCUCAUACUUUUUCAUGAGAGCCAGCUGUGAGUAUUUCUUCCCAACUCUGUGUUCAAGGAUGUUGUAUUGAUAGCUUGAAAUUAGCCACGGUGGGAGUAUUUAUACCACGGAAACUUGCAAACUACAAAUCAAGACUUUUUUAUUUUCCCCAGAAAGCCAGUUGUUAAACAUUUAUCAGUACAUCACUGAUUAAAGGUUAAAUGACUAGUAUUGAGGAAAUUUGUACAUGGGAUCUUGCCCUGAAACACUGGUUGGCAAGAUAACCUUUCAGGCCUCCUCCUGUGCCAAGUUAUUAGAAGCAUCUCUUGUCCCACUUGGAGAGAGAGGCUCCACACCUGUAGUCACUGUUAUUUAUGUUGGCUCUACCCCUAAGUUCCCAGGCCUGGUUAUCUUACCCAUUUAAACUCUUUUAUGGACUUAGGUAUAGGUCUGGCUCCCGAAAACCAACACCACCAUUACCACCUGACCGCAGCUCAAUACACGCAGCUUCAGCAGCUGGCAGGCAGUCCUGCUCGAAGCCCCGAGUUGGCAGACUUCUCAGGAUUAUCUCCUGCUCCGAGGCAUGAGAUGUGGAGCAGCCCUGGACUCCACAAGCUCGUGCACCAGCAGAGGCCAGAGGGCAGUGUCACAGCCACUAGAGUUUUUCUGCAGAUGGCGAGUGCCUUCUGAGGUCCACCCCAGGGAUCCUAUUCCCAUGAGAAGCAGAGUGACAUGGGCCACAGGGCGGGAAGGACGGGUACUGGAGUCAGAGGAGACACAGACGGAGGCAAUUAGCAGUUGUCACAAAACAAAGCUGCAACACAGCAGCACUCACUGCCUGGGGGACCCUUCCCCCAUUAAUAAGGAACUCAUCUGGCUCCAGCUCCCUUGGUCUUCAGAACCCAGCAGACCUAGAGAAAUGAAUCCCUCCCUGCAGCCAUGGCCACUUGCUUUCUCCUUCCCAUGGUGCACAGCCCAGCCUGGCAUGCAGGAGGUACUCGAAAAGUCUAUGCUGAAUGAACAAACUAGGCAGCCAUUAGAGCCCUGUCUUGGGCCCCUCGGAUUUCACCCCUCUUUGAGGACCCAAACAAGCCUACCUUCUCCAGAAGGUCUUUCCAAACCCAGGUAGUAAGCAUGCCAUCAACCCAAGCCAUCACUGGACCCAAAGUCACUCCUUUCCCUUCUCAAAAAUCCUCCAGUGGAAGUCAGCCCAUAAGGACCCUCUGCUUGGGCUUGUCUCAGCUCCCUGUAUGUGGGCUUUGUAUCUUCAGGGAGAUCCUGAGCUCCUUGAGAGAAGCACUGGGCUUCCUCUUUCUCUAGUGUUCUUCUAAGGUGUCUAGUUCAAGGUUAAGAGCCCCACAGUCCCAUGAUGGUUGGUCAUUGGCCAGGUCCUCCAUUCACUGGAUCACAGCUCAGUUCUAGACAACAUUUUUCCCCUCUCUCCUGAAUUGUUCUUCCCAAGUGAUCUUGGAAGAGGUGCCUGUUCUUUGCCCCUGGCAGUGUACCCCGGGUUGCAGAAGGAUCCCGUGCCAGCACUGUCUCCCCAGAAGGUAACAGAAAUGGCAGCCACAUCCCUAAUGAGGAAGCAGCACAGCCCAUAGGCCAAGCACACACAGCACCCCCACCCAUCACCCAGGCGACACAGAAUUCGCCCUGUCUUCUUACCACGUUCUUGGAGAGAAAACUGGACUGUAUGAAAGAUAGAAUCAUGGGCAACAUACCCCCAGAGAACAGCUACAAAAGUGCUAUAAAGCACUUGGCCUUCCCCAGUUCUCACUUAGUCUCAGAAAACAGCUCAGACUCAGGGAGGAAGGGGUGCGCUCUCCCUUCACUGAGAAAAUUCAGAAGUCAUAUGAGGAAUAUGACAGCCAUUUGCCAACUUCAGAUUUAAAUUAAGUUUUAAAUUCCUUUUAGAGCUCAUAAUAUUUAUGCAGAUUCUAAAACUGAGUAAACAAGAUAUUUGCUACUUCAUUGUAUAAAAAUCUGAAUCCAGGGGAAUUAGCUUUUAUUGCUGAUUCCAAACUUAGUUCCGUGAGAGCUGAUUUGUUUUGUUCAAAUGAAAACUGCGUUUAGAUCAUCCUCUCAUCUCCACGUCUGUCUCAGGCUGCUCGGGCUGCCAUAACGGAACACCAUAGACUGGGUGGCUUAAAAACAGAAAUUUCUUUUCUCACAAUUCUCUAGGCUGGCGUCCAAGAUCAGGGUGCCAGCACGGUGGGUUCGGGUAAGAGCCCUCCUCCUGCCUGGCAGACAGUCAGCUUCUUGCGGUGUGCUCACAGUGUCCAUCCUCAGAGUGUC
rnacentral:lncRNA from 1 species